rnacentral:rRNA from 1 species
GACGAACGCUGGCGGCGUGCCUAAUACGUGCAAGUAGAACGCUGAAGAGAGGAGCUUGCUCUUCUUGGAUGAGUUGCGAACGGGUGAGUAACGCGUAGGUAACCUGCCUUGUAGCGGGGGAUAACUAUUGGAAACGAUAGCUAAUACCGCAUAACAAUGGAUGACCCAUGUCAUUUAUUUGAAAGGGGCAAAUGCUCCACUACAAGAUGGACCUGCGUUGUAUUAGCUAGUAGGUGAGGUAACGGCUCACCUAGGCGACGAUACAUAGCCGACCUGAGAGGGUGGUCGGCCACACUGGGACUGGGACACGGCCCAGACUCCUACGGGAGGCAGCAGUAGGGAAUCUUCGGCAAUGGGGGCAACCCUGACCGAGCAACGCCGCGUGAGUGAAGAAGGUUUUCGGAUCGUAAAGCUCUGUUGUAAGUCAAGAACGAGUGUGAGAGUGGAAAGUUCACACUGUGACGGUAGCUUACCAGAAAGGGACGGCUAACUACGUG